CCUACGGGGGGCAGCAGUGAGGAAUAUUGGUCAAUGGGCGCGAGCCUGAACCAGCCAAGUAGCGUGAAGGAUGACUGCCCUACGGGUUGUAAACUUCUUUUAUAAAGGAAUAAAGUGAGGCACGUGUGCCUUUUUGUAUGUACUUUAUGAAUAAGGAUCGGCUAACUCCGUGCCAGCAGCCGCGGUAAUACGGAGGAUCCGAGCGUUAUCCGGAUUUAUUGGGUUUAAAGGGAGCGUAGAUGGGGUGUUAAGUCAGUUGUGAAAGUUUGCGGCUCAACCGUAAAACUGCAAUUGAUACUGGGAGGCUUGAGUACAGCUGAGGUAGGCGGAAUUCGUGGUGUAGCGGUGAAAUGCUUAGAUAUCACGAAGAACUCCGAUUGCGAAGGCAGCUUACCAAACUGCUACUGACAUUGAGGCUCGAAAGUGUGGGUAUCAAACAGGAUUAGAUACCCUAGUAGUC
rnacentral:rRNA from 1 species